GAUGAACGCUAGCGGCAGGCUUAACACAUGCAAGUCGAGGGGCAGCACGGGUAGCAAUACUUGGUGGCGACCGGCAAACGGGUGCGGAACACGUACAGAAUCUACCUUUAUCUGGGGCAUAGCCCGAAGAAAUUCGGAUUAAUACCCCAUAAUAUAUUUAAGUGGCAUCACUUUGUAAUAUUAAAACUACCGGUGGAUAGAGAUGACUGUGCGUCCCAUUAGCUAGNGGUUAGGGUAACGGCCUACCAAGGCGACGAUGGGUAGCUGGUGUGAGAGCACGACCAGCCACACGGGCACUGAGACACGGGCCCGACUCCUACGGGAGGCAGCAGUGAGGAAUAUU
rnacentral:rRNA from 1 species